rnacentral:rRNA from 1 species
AUUGAACGCUGGCGGCAUGCCUUACACAUGCAAGUCGAACGGCAGCACGGGUGCUUGCCCCUGGUGGCGAGUGGCGAACGGGUGAGUAAUACAUCGGAACAUGUCCUGUAGUGGGGGAUAGCCCGGCGAAAGCCGGAUUAAUACCGCAUACGAUCUACGGAUGAAAGCGGGGGACCUUCGGGCCUCGCGCUAUAGGGUUGGCCGAUGGCUGAUUAGCUAGUUGGUGGGGUAACGGCCUACCAAGGCGACGAUCAGUAGCUGGUCUGAGAGGACGACCAGCCACACUGGGACUGAGACACGGCCCAGACUCCUACGGGAGGCAGCAGUGGGGAAUUUUGGACAAUGGGCGAAAGCCUGAUCCAGCAAUGCCGCGUGUGUGAAGAAGGCCUUCGGGUUGUAAAGCACUUUUGUCCGGAAAGAAAUCCUUGGCCCUAAUACGGUCGGGGGAUGACGGUACCGGAAGAAUAAGCACCGGCUAACUACGUG